UGCAGCUCUCGCCUGGUCGCCCACUGAAGCUAAGCAGGGCUGAGCCUGGUCACUACCUGGAUGGGAGACCUCCUGGGAAAACUAGGCUGCUGCUG
rnacentral:rRNA from 1 species